CUUUUAUUUGUUCUUUCUGUAUCAAGUAGUGGGGAAAAAGGUCACUAACUUUUCUAAGGGUCAUGAACCUUUGUUUCCUUGGUAACUGUUUAGAGUGCUUUAACAGUAUUGUCAGCCCUCAAGAGUCAGGCCCUAAAAAAUCAAGAGCCUGGCUUAAAAGUAAGGAGUUUAUAAAAUAAUAACAAACACUGGGUUCUUCUCAUUUGCCUUGCUGGUUCUGAGCAUUUGGGGUUCAUAUUUUCAAGCUUUUCUUGGCAGCUAUGAAGUCCAGAAACCUGCUUUUUUUACACCUCCCUCCCCCCCAAAAAAAGAGAGAGGGGGAAAAAAAAAAAGAAAGAAACCUGAGAUUCUUAAGUAAUGAAAUGGCUGCAGGAGCUGGGGUUUUAAGAACACCACCGAGUAUUGUGGGGAUUGGCUACACAGGGCUCAUAACUGCACUCUUUUCCACACACCAUUCUGAACUGGGAAGCAGUGGUCACAAAUGUUGGAGAGUGUUAACUUAUCAGCCGUGAGAGAUGAAGCGGGAGAGCUCCCUCUCCCCCACCCUUCUUAGAAGACACCUCUAGGCAUUACUUUCAGUUAUAAGGGAUUUCUGAAAAAAAGACUUUCAAUGGGGAGAGCUUUUAGAAUGAUACUGCCUGCGUUGGAACAACUCCUGGGCAGCACAGAUGAGAAAGCUAAUGUAUGCUGCAUGAUGGCUGGAACAAUGCCCAGAUUUCCCUCUCAGACAAAGAUAACAGAGACAUGAAUGCCAGUGAAAUAAAUUUUUUCCUUUGACUAGACUCUCAGAAAUGCCUAGUUUGUAUGUGCACCUGGAGAGCAUUUGAUAUUGGCUCAGUGGGUCCUAAUGAGAGGGAGAGAUUUCCAAGAUUCCAGCAGCAUAUGCAUGACCACUGAGUACCCCCCUUCCCCCACCCCCCCAAACUGCUUCGAUAU